rnacentral:rRNA from 1 species
AAGAGACAGCAGUAGCCGCGGGAAUACGAAGGGUGCAAGCGUUACUCGGAAUUACUGGGCGUAAAGCGUGCGUAGGUGGUGGUUUAAGUCCGUUGUGAAAGCCCUGGGCUCAACCUGGGAAUUGCAGUGGAUACUGGGUCACUAGAGUGUGGUAGAGGAUAGUGGAAUUUCCGGUGUAGCAGUGAAAUGCGUAGAGAUCGGAAGGAACAUCUGUGGCGAAGGCGACUAUCUGGGCCAACACUGACACUGAGGCACGAAAGCGUGGGGAGCAAACAGGAUUAGAUACCCGCGUAGUCCCUGUCUCUUAUAC